rnacentral:rRNA from 1 species
UACGGAGGGGGCCAGCGUUGUUCGGAAUUACUGGGCGUAAAGGGCGCGUAGGCGGCCUUCUAAGUCAGACGUGAAAUCCCCCGGCUUAACCGUGGAACUGCUCGGUAUACUGCUUAUCUUGAGCCACUUAGGGGCUACCGGAACAAAUGGUGGAGCGGUGAAAUGCGUAGAUAUCAUUUGGAACGCCAAUGGUGAAAACAGGUAGCUGGGAGUGUGCUGACGCUGAGACACGAAAGCCAGGGGAGCGAACGGG